rnacentral:rRNA from 1 species
CGCGUAGGCGGUUCGCUAAGUUGGAUGUGAAAACUCUGGGCUCAACCCAGAGCCUGCAUCCAAAACUGGCGGGCUAGAGUUCUGGAGGGGGUAGCGGGAAUUCCUGGUGUAGCGGUGAAAUGCGUAGAUAUCAGGAGGAACACCGGUGGCGAAGGCGGCUACCUGGACAGAAACUGACGCUGAGGCGCGAAAGCUAGGGGAGCAAAUA